UCAAAGUUUAAUUUUGGCUUUGAAAUUUUCUUUGUUUUUUAUUUUAUAUGUAAAUUUUAGUAAGGGUAAUUUUUAAUUUAAAUAAUUAAAAAUCUGUAGUUUAUUCGCAGUAUAAAAUAUUAAAUAUUAAAUAAAUUUAGAUUUAAGAAUAAAAUUGAAAAUUAACAAAAUUUGUGCCAGCAGUUGCGGUUACACAAAUAAUUUAAGAAAAUUUUUUUUGGAAUAUAGUUAAAAGAGUAUAAGAUAAAUUUAAUUAAAUUUUUUAAGUGAAAUUUAAAAUUUAUAUAAAAUUUUAUUUGUGAUUUUUGAAGCUAAUAAAUUUAAAUUAAAAACUAGGAUUAGAUACCCUAUUAUUUUAAACUUAAAAGAAAAAUUCCUAAUUAGUAAAAGUUAUGGUCUCUAAAAUUAAAAAAUUUGGCGGUAUUUUAGUCUUUUCAGAGGAACCUGUUCUAUAAUUGAUAGUCCACGAUUUAUUAUACUUAUCUUUUAAAUUUAUAUAUCGUCGUAGUUUGAAUAUUUUCAAGGAAAAAUAAUAUUCAAGAUUUUCAAUAAAAAUAAAAAUCAGAUCAAGGUGUAGUGUAUAGAUAAGAAGAAAUGGGUUACAAUAAAUUUAUUUUUGGAAAAAUUUAUGAAAUUAAAUUUAGAAAUUGGAUUUGAAAGUAAUUUAAAAAAAAUUUUUUAAAUGAUUUAAGCUCUAAAAUAUGUACAUAUUGCCCGUCGCUUUUGUUUUAAGAUGAAAUAAGUCGUAACAAAGUAGAUUUACUGGAAAGUGAAUCUAGAAGCAA
rnacentral:ncRNA from 1 species